rnacentral:rRNA from 1 species
UACGUAGGUGGCAAGCGUUGUCCGGAAUUAUUGGGCGUAAAGCGCGCGCAGGCGGCUUCUUAAGUCUGAUGUGAAAUCUCGGGGCUCAACCCCGAGCGGCCCAUUGGAAACUGGGAAGCUUGAGUACAGAAGAGGAGAGGUGGAAUUCCACGUGUAGCGGUGAAAUGCGUAGAUAUGUGGAGGAACACCAGUGGCGGAAGGCGACUCUCUGGUCUGUAACUGGACGCUGAGGCGCGAAAGCGUGGGAGCAAACAGGAU